UUUUAUCUUUGUUUCUUUCUUCUUUCUUCUUUUUUUUUUUUUUUAAAAAAAAACAUUUUUAGAUUGGGAAUGUGUUUUACCCUUGUUCCUUCGUGGUUUUGGAUUCUCCUAAUAUGGAUUUCCUUUUUGGGCUGGAUAUGCUUCGUAAGCACCAGUGCAUAAUUGAUUUGAAGGAGAAUGUCUUGAGAGUUGGUGGAGGAGAGGUUUCAGUACCCUUUUUGCAAG